GAUGAACGCUGGCGGCGUGCCUAAUACAUGCAAGUCGAGCGAACAGACGAGGAGCUUGCUCCUCUGACGUUAGCGGCGGACGGGUGAGUAACACGUGGAUAACCUACCUAUAAGACUGGGAUAACUUCGGGAAACCGGAGCUAAUACCGGAUAAUAUAUUGAACCGCAUGGUUCAAUAGUGAAAGACGGUUUUGCUGUCACUUAUAGAUGGAUCCGCGCCGCAUUAGCUAGUUGGUACGGUAACGGCUUACCAAGGGAACGAUGCGUAACCGACCUGAGAGGGUGAUCGGCCACACGAGAACUGGGACACGGUCCAGACUCCUACGGGAGGCAGCAGUAGGGAAUCUUCCGCAAUGGGCGAAAGCCUGACGGAGCAACGCCGCGUGAGUGAUGAAGGUCUUCGGAUCGUAAAACUCUGUUAUUAGGGAAGAACAAAUGUGUAAGUAACUAUGCACGUCUUGACGGUACCUAAUCAGAAAGCCACGGCUAACUACGUG
rnacentral:rRNA from 1 species